rnacentral:rRNA from 1 species
AGCAGUCGCCGCGGUAAGACAGAGGAUGCAAGCGUUAUCCGGAAUGAUUGGGCGUAAAGCGUCUGUAGGUGGCUUUUCAAGUCCGCCGUCAAAUCCCAGGGCUCAACCCUGGACAGGCGGUGGAAACUACCAAGCUGGAGUACGGUAGGGGCAGAGGGAAUUUCCAGUGGAGCGGUGAAAUGCGUUGAGAUCGAAAAGAACACCAACAGCGAAAGCACUCUGCUGGGACGACACUGACACUAAGAGACGAAAGCUAGGGGAGCAAAUGGGAUUAGAUACCCCCGUAGUCCCUGUCUCUUAUAC